CCUACGGGUGGCACCAGUGAGGAAUAUUGGUCAAUGGGCGAGAGCCUGAACCAGCCAAGUCGCGUGAGGGAGUACUGCCCUAUGUGUUGUAAACCUCUUUUGUCGGAGAGCAAAAGCCGGACGUGUCCGGAUGUGAGAGUACCCGAAGAAAAAGCAUCGGCUAACUCCGUGCCAGCCGCCGCGGCAAUACGAGGGAUGCGAGGUUUACCCGGAUUUAUUGGGUUUAAAGGGUGCGCAGCGGGAUUUUUAAGUCGGCGGUCAAAUCGUGGGGCUCAACCCCAUCUAGCCGUUGAAACUGGGGAUCUAGAGUGUGCGAGAGGUAUGCGGAAUGCGUGGUGUAGCGGUGAAAUGCAUAGAUAUCACGCAGAACCCCGAUUGCGAAGGCAGCAUACCGGUGCACAACUGACGCUCAGGCACGAAAGCGUGGGUAUCGAACAGGAUUAGAUACCCGGGUAGUC
rnacentral:rRNA from 1 species